CUGCAGUCUGCACUCCCUUCCUUCUUCUCCAACAUCAUGAAACGUCUCUUCAACCCACGUCUGUGUUUUCCAUAUUUUGGUUUUUCCUCUGUCACUUGUCUUCUUCUUGAUUCUUCUUUGAUAGCUCUUUUCGAAGGCUUUUCAUUUUUUUUCUACUUUACAAUUAGGGUUUUUGAGUUUCUUGGUUUUCAGUUUUGAAAGGCAAAGGUUCCUUGUACAAAAGUUUCCUACUUGAAAAUUAGGGUUUUCGAAUUCUUGAUUAUAAGUUUCUGUUCUUCAUUUAGAACAGAGAUAAUCUUCGAAUCUUUUGGUUUUAUCAAAUUGCAGUUAUUUUGGCUAGUCCAUUGAUCACGUUCUUGAUCCUGCUUAAGUUUAUUGCUCGACUUUCUUGUUUAACUAUUUAUUUUGAACUAAGAAGAUACAGAGCGAAUCAUAGUGAUCUUUUGAUUUUAUUCAUUUAAACUUCUUUUUUAUGCUCCUUUUCUGUGAUAAUGAAGCUGUUUACGGGUUUUUCUAAGUUAUUCCUUCUUAUGUUAUUAAAUUUUUUUGGGUUAUCCCAAUAACUUUUUCUACAUUUUUUGCAAUAAGGCCUCAUAGCCUUCUUAUUUGGAUAUUAAAGUUCAGUUUUCUUAUCUGUCCACAUUAUUUACUUUCUUGGAACUUCUUUCUUUCUUUUUUAAUCUGUUAUUGUAAUCAAGAAUUUCAACUCUGUUGAUAACAAUCUUUUAGUGACAAUGGACCUUUCUUAGGUUGCUGAAGUAAAAACAAAAGAUAGCAGUGUAAUGAACUUUUUUUCUUUAUUAACUUUCUUGUAUGAAUCUUAAUGUCAUUCGCUUUUUCUACAGUUGCUUUAAUGGAGGAAAAUACACACAUGUUUACUGAAGUUCAGUUCAUGUCAACAGAUUCUUGGUGGUAAUAUGCAGUCUAUCUGGUUUGUGCAUUUAUAUGCAAAAUUAAUAUUAUUUAAAUGGCUUAUCUAUCCUAUAUUAAUAUAAUUUCAUUUGUUUGAUAAAACUUUGGAUUUAUUCAUUAAUAUAAUUUCAUUUUGAUGAGAUGUUUGCUCAAUGUUGAUGUUCAAGUGGGGGUGUAUUUGUGUCAAUCCUCUGUUUUUUCAUAAAUGUUUGUUGAAUAUCAGUAAUAGCCUAUUGAUUGAUCAUGGUCUUUAUUGAAGUAUCUUUCUUUCUAUAAUGGUCUUUAUGAUUAUGUUUUUUUUUUUAAAUCUUCUCUUCCUUUUGAUGCCUUGGUUAUUUCAUGUCUUAUGUGAUCAAAUGUCAUGUUCUCUGUUUUCUUUUUGAUGAUGAUGAUGAUGAUGAUGUGAUGCUUAUUUCUUAGUUGGCAUGAUUCAUGAAUAAUGAUGUGCUUGUAUAUUGACUGACUAUCAUUGUAUGUAUAAGAUAGGCCUCUUUGUGAUGUUUCUUUUAACCAUUAAACAUGUCAUCAAGGGAUCAAAUUUAAUUUUUUAAGUGGACUUAAGAAGGUGAAAACAACCAAGGUAGUCAGCUCAUCUUUUUGUGAUUACUCAGAUUAUCAUUAGUUGUUUAAGCAAAAAAUGCAAUUCAUCCAAUACUUCAUUUUGUUAGAUGAUUAGUAAGUUGAAUCAUGGUAUGUCAACUCCUUGAACCUCUUAUAUGUUCUUCUUGUUUUUUUCCUUUUAGCUACAAAAAGAAUAUAGAAGAUUAUGGUCUAUUGUAUUAUCUCCACUUAGAUCAGACACAGGUAAAAAAAACAUCAUAAAAAAUGUCUCUUAUCCUUUUAUUCAAAUACUCACAAAGAAUGAGACUAAAUAUAUGUUUAUCUUUUCCUUUUUGAAUAUGUUUUAUCUUUUUUCUAUAUUUUGCUAUCUUCAGGUUGUGAAGUCAACAUUCAAGUAUUUGUCUACCUUAUAUUCUUCUUGAGGCUUGAGAUCAAAUUAUAAGGCAUUUGAUGUGGUGGUUUAUAUAUUUUCAGACAUCAAUUGUUUCUUCCUUUUACAAAAUCAAUAAAUUAAUAAUUUCACCUAACCUUUAUCUUUUUGUUAGAUCUUGACCACUUAUCCUGCUCAUCUUGUGGUUGGAAUGUAUGCCUCUUUAUUUCAAUAGUUUUUAGUUUCUUUUUACAAGAAAUAAAAAGUAACUUAUCAACUGUUUUUAAUUGCACAACAGUCCUCUUUUUGAUCAUGAUGCGAUUGUUAUUUCUUACUUGGCAUUAUUCAAGAUGUGUCUGUAGAUUGACUGACUAUCAUUGUGCAUAGAACAUGUUCACUAUGGGAUCCGAUUUUUUUUAAACGGCUUAUCUAUUUUAUAGCUUUUACCCUUUUUUUCUUCGUAAAAUUGAUCUUCUUUAAUCGGAUUAACUUAUCCCCUUUUAUACAUUUUGUACCGAUUAUGCUCAUAUUUUGAUGCUAUCAAUUGCUAAUGUUGAUUUUGGCCCUAGUGAUGAUGUACUUAUUAAAAAGGUGAAAAUAAACCGAGGUUGUCAUCUCAUCUUUUUGUGAAUAAUCGGAUUAUAAUUAGUUGUUUAAUCAUAAAUUAUAAUUCAUCUAAAUCUAAUACUUCAUUUUGUUAGGGAAAUGGUGUGGGCUCCAAAAUAAAGGUUGAAAGGAGUCAUAGAUGCAUGUAAAAGUAAGUUGCUUCUUAAGUAAGGUAAUGAAACUAGCUAGUGAUUUCAUCAUGCUUUUUUAGACUUUAAAACCAAUGGGCAGAUAUUUGUAUCAUCUUAAACCAUUUAUCUUCUUCCUUGAAGGUACAAAAAGAAUGUAGAUUGUGGUUCAUUGUAUUUGUAUCAUCUCCAAACAGAUUAAAUGACCAUUUUAUCCUACAUUUCUAUAAGAAAAUUUCAAAAUAUUCAUUAAUUUCAACAUUAUAUACAUUUUCUUCUUGAUGAAAUUAAUUUUAUCUAAAUUGAUUAUCUAUCCCAUAUAAAUAUAUUUUCAUCUGUUUUAUAACUUUUUAGAUUUGUUUAUCAGGAAGCAAGUCCAAGAAAUGUCUCUUCAACCAUGUCUGAUUUUCAUAUUUUGUUUUAUCAUCUGUCCCUUAUCUUGUUCUUGAUUCUUCUUGAAUGUUUUUUUUUUCAAAUUUUUUAAUGACAGGGGUGGUUCCUUCUAUAGUUUCUUUCCUAUUUGAAAAUUAGGGUCUUUGAGUUUCUUGGUUAUCAAUUUCAUAUUUUUCAUCAUGUUCAUUUUAUACAUAGAUAAUUUUAAAAUCUUUUGGUUUUAUUUAUUUGUAGUGUUUUUGAUAGUUGAUUGAUCCUGCUAUUUGUUGUUCUAAAGUUCAUUAACUUCAUCAGUCAUUUAGAACAAAAAAGAUACAAAAUGAAAGAUGUGUUAGUUUUUUCUUAUCAAAGCAUUUCACUUUAAAAAGUUUAUAAGUUAUAGGAUUAUACUCUCAAAUUUCUUAUUAUAAGCACAUUACCAUUUUAAAAAUCAACAAAAUUAUAGCAUUGCAUUAUAAGUUUUCUUUUUGUUACAACAUUGUAAGUUUCAAAUUUUUUUUAUCAUCAAGACAUUUUAUGUUAACAAAUCUACCAAUUAAGUUUUCUUAUUAUGAGCUCAUUUCCCCUUGAAAAAUCAACCCGUUUAUAGCAUUACUUUUAUUUCUCUUGAAUGAUAGGCACAAAUACAAUGAUGGAAUUUUUCUUUUUUCCCUUAAUUUAUGUUUUUGUGGAUGAGCUAUAUGCAGUUAGUAUAUUCAUGCUUUUUUUAUACUUUGCCUUCUUAUUUGAAGAUAAAAGUUAGGUUUUCUUGGAACGUAUUUUCUUUCUUUUUAAUCUAUUAUUGUAAUCCAGAAUUUCAACUCUGUUGAUAACAAUCUUUUGGUGACAAUGGAGCCUUUUUUAGGUUGUUGAAGCAAAAACAGAUGCUUGGUGUUAAUCUGUAGUUUAUCUGGUUUGUCCUUUGUUCACCCCUUUGUAUUUUAUAACUUUUACAUUUCUAUGCAAAAUUAAUCUUUUCUCAAGGGUUUAUCCAUCCCAUAUUAAUAUAAUUUUAUUUGUUUGAUGAGAUGUUUGCUGAAUGUUGAUGUUCAAGUGGGUAUUUGUGUCCAUUCUCUGUUUUUUCAUAAAUGUUUGUUGAAUAUCAGUAAUGGCCUGUUGAUUGAUCAUGCUCUUUAUUGAAGUAUCUUCCUUUCUAUAAUUGUCUUUAUGAUUAUGUUUUUUUAAUCUUCUCUUCCUUUUGAUGCCUUAGUUAUUUCAUGUCUUUUGUGAACAAUUGUUCUGUUCUUGAAAUAAGAGCCUUUUUCCUUUUAUAUAUUAUUUUGAUGCUAUCAAUUUCUGUAGGGCCAUACAACUCUUUAAUGUUGAUUUUGGCUCUAGUGAAUAGUGAUGGACUUCAGAAGGUGAAAAUAACCAAGGGGAAAUGGAGUGACCUCCAAAAUACAGAUUGAAAGGAGUCAUCUCUGCAUGUAAAAGUUGCUUCUUAAGGUUCUGAAGAAAGAUAUAAAAGUCAGCAUUCAAGUAUUUGUCUAUACUCCAUUGUUCUUGACACUUAAGAUCAAAUUAAGGCAUUUGAUGUGGAUAUAUGAAUUCCUUCAUCUUCAGGAAAUGACUUGGAAUGCUGGCUUAAAACCGAGGACUAUGUAGUAAUUUAUAUAUAAUUUUAGACAUCAAUUGUUUCUUCCAUUUACAAAAUCAAUAAACUAAUAGUGUCACCUUCACCUUUACUUUUUUAAUAGAUGUUGAAGUUGAGCAUUGAUCCUGUUUGUCUUGUGGUUGGACAUCCUUGCACCAAUGUCACUGUAUAUCAAUUUUCUUUCAAUAGGCUUUACUUUCUUUUUACAAAAAAAGUAACUUAUUAACUUUUGUUAAUUGCACAACAGGCUUCUUUCUCAAAACGAGUUGUCAAUCUAGAAUCAUCCAUGAUCUUUUUUAAUAUUCUCUUUUUUUUUUCUACAGUUGUUAUAUUGGAGAAAAAUACACAUAUGUUUACUGAAAUUCACUUGUUGUCAACAGAUGGUUGGUGGUAAUAUGAAGUUUAUGUGGUUUGUAUGUUCUUAUUCUCACCCCCUUUCUAUUUUAUAGCUUUUACAUUAAUAUGAAAAAUUAAUCUUCUUUAAAUGUUUUCUUGUUGAAAGACGGGGAGCACAAACAUGUGACUCCUCUUCCAUUUUGAUGAGAUGUUGGCUCACUGUUUAAUGUUUAAGUUGGUGUCUUGUGUCAUUUCUCUCUUUUUUCAUAAAUGUUUGUUGAAUAUCACUAAUCUCAAUGUGGAUAUUCUUUGAUGAUAUGAGAUUUUGAGGCUAAUGUAAGGACAAUCUUGUUUAAAAUGACUCGAAUAAUGGCCUCAUCUCUCUUGUGUAGACUAAUUCAUUGAGAAAUUGAUUGCAACUUUUAGGUUUUAAUUUAUUUUCUUUGAUUGCAUGAAUGUUUUCAUGUAUUUUGAUUUAGCACCUAAUCUGGACAGCUAUAUAUGACUGUUUUGUUUUUAGCUUAAUCUGGACAGAAUUACUUAAAGGGUAAAUCCAAAAACCAUUACUUAAUGUAUUAAUUAGACACCAACACUAUACAUAUUUUCUUUUUCCUUUCAGCUCCUCCCAAGCUAAAAUUGAAAAAUAAGUUGAAUAUGUAUUAAUUUUUUGAAAUAUGAGGGAAAAUAGUCAUUUAGUCUUCUUUUAGAUGGUUUAUUCAGUCUAAAACAAGAAACAUGACUUAUGUAUGCAAAUAUCUUUAUCCAUUUAGCCACUUUACCAUUACACGCCUUAUUA